UUCACACCUCUCUCCCCGCAAAUGUGAAAUUAAUUGGUUCACAGCUCUUUGCAGGAUUGCAUGUAAUUCAGUUUAGGGCAUUGCUAAUGCUCUUGGAGGUCUUUUACAGCUAAAUCAUUCUGUGAUUCUGCAUCUGCUCUAGGUCAUACCAAGCGUCCAUCUAGCCCAUUGACCCCUGCUAGCAAUGUCCAUGCAAGGAAUUAUUGAGGAAAGCAAGGAAAGGGCAAAUACACCAAGUCUCUGCAACCUCCCAGCUUCUAGGACAAACAUGCUGAGUACCUCCCGUGGACUUUGAGAGCUGUUCCUCUGGAAAUCAGGUCACUGAUGUGAUGCUGGAAGGAGAAAGCACAAGGAAAAAGAAGGGCUCUGAUUUUCAAACACAAAUGUUUAUACAGUUUGGGGAAGAGAAUAAAAUGAAUAAAUAAA